AUAUCUUCAGGCCCAGAAAUUAGGAUUCAAGAUUUGCCUCAUUGAAAACCGGUCAGGAGUUCAUGUUCACAAUCAAGCAGUGACCCCUUCUACUACUUGAGGGAUUCAGCAAAGACCAUCAACGGUACAGUCAAAGUUGAACAUGAAAACAAGGCGUUCUGCCAGUGUGCGUGCAUGAUCCAAUAGCAUGUGUUUAAUAGUAGCCACUAUGAUGUGAAAUACUAGCAGCUUCCUCCAUUUAUGCCAGUAUUUGAUAUACUUACCAAAGUUUAAGGGCGCCAAUCUUAAGAAGACAUCCCGGUUUGUGAGAAAAUUUCUUACGCGUAUUAGACAAAAGAUGUAUCUAAUUUUCCUUAGGUUGCAUUGCAACACAUCAGUUUCUGCUAUUGGUUCUUUUACCAUAAAAUUUGUAAGGUCCCUUAUGUUUGAUUUAUUGUAUAAAUCAUUUGAGACAUGCCCUGCAUGCAUGAUUACUCACUAUAUUUAUGUUCAUCUGAUAUUAUGUUCAUGAAUCAUUUACAUCA